UACGGAGGGGGCUAGCGUUGUUCGGAAUUACUGGGCGUAAAGCGCGCGUAGGCGGACCUGCAAGUCGGGGGUGAAAGCCCGAGGCUCAACCUCGGAACUGCCUUCGAUACUGCGGGUCUCGAGUCCGGGAGAGGUGAGUGGAAUUCCUAGUGUAGAGGUGAAAUUCUUAGAUAUUAGGAAGAACACCAGUGGCGAAGGCGGCUCACUGGCCCGGUACUGACGCUGAGGCGCGAAAGCGUGGGGAGCAAACAGG
rnacentral:rRNA from 1 species